CAGUAGCCACGGGAAUACGAAGGGGGCUAGCGUUGUUCGGAUUUACUGGGCGUAAAGCGCACGUAGGCGGACUUUUAAGUCAGGGGUGAAAUCCCGGGGCUCAACCCCGGAACUGCCUUUGAUACUGGAAGUCUUGAGUAUGGUAGAGGUGAGUGGAAUUCCGAGUGUAGAGGUGAAAUUCGUAGAUAUUCGGGGGAACACCAGUGGCGAAGGCGGCUCACUGGACCAUUACUGACGCUGAGGUGCGAAAGCGUGGGGAGCAAACAGGAUUAGAUACCCCCGUAGUCCCUGUCUCUUAUAC
rnacentral:rRNA from 1 species